rnacentral:rRNA from 2 species
CCAUCAGAUGUGCCCAGAUGGGAUUAGCUUGUUGGUGAGGUAACGGCUCACCAAGGCGACGAUCCCUAGCUGGUCUGAGAGGAUGACCAGCCACACUGGAACUGAGACACGGUCCAGACUCCUACGGGAGGCAGCAGUGGGGAAUAUUGCACAAUGGGCGCAAGCCUGAUGCAGCCAUGCCGCGUGUAUGAAGAAGGCCUUCGGGUUGUAAAGUACUU